AGCAUUUACUGUCUCUUCACCUUUUUUUUGGUGGUGGGGGAGCCUCCCUCCAUCUAUGGUCUAUGAAAGCGGAAAUUUGGAGCAGGCAUUUCUAGCUUCAAACUCCACAGGAUCAAAGGAGCAUAGGAUGACAGUGGGUACUGCUGGAUUGCUGGGCACAGCUCCCAUUAGCCUGUUUUUUUCCUCUGGAUACAAGGAGGAGAGGGCCCUGGCCUCUGAGAUGAGAAAACUGAGAAAGACUCAGAGAAACAAAGUGAGGUGCUGAUGAUUAUGCAGCUAAGGAAGCCUUUAAAUCCAGACCACUCUCCUGACUCCAAGUUCACUGGGCUAUUCACCACCCUCCCCUGCUCUCAAGUCACAUCCUGCUCUUACAAAAUGAAUCUGUAAACAGAGAUGGCACUUCUGUUGUCUGAAUUUUCAUGCCUCGUGCAAUUGGUAUUUAUUUUUUCCCUACAAAUUACAAUCUGCAUUGACAUUAUUAAAGCAAUCAUAUGGGCCCAGCAGAAAUGAAGAAGAAACACAAUUGAUUAUGUUUAUUGCUGUAGAAAUCCUUUGCUGGUGGACUGGGCAUAGACCCAAUUUCAUUUGUCUGUGAUACUGCAAACGCAGCUAAUUGCCUGUCUU